rnacentral:rRNA from 1 species
AUUGAACGCUGGCGGCAUGCUUUACACAUGCAAGUCGAACGGUAACAGGUUAAGCUGACGAGUGGCGAACGGGUGAGUAAUGCAUCGGAACGUGCCCGAUCGUGGGGGAUAACGCAGCGAAAGCUGCGCUAAUACCGCAUACGAUCUGAGGAUGAAAGCGGGGGACCGUAAGGCCUCGCGCGAUCGGAGCGGCCGAUGUCAGCUUAGGUAGUUGGUGGGGUAAAGGCUCACCAAGCCGACGAUCUGUAGCUGGUCUGAGAGGACGACCAGCCACACUGGGACUGAGACACGGCCCAGACUCCUACGGGAGGCAGCAGUGGGGAAUUUUGGACAGUGGGCGCAAGCCUGAUCCAGCAAUGCCGCGUGCAGGAAGAAGGCCUUCGGGUUGUAAACUGCUUUUGUACGGAGCGAAAAGGCUCUCUCUAAUACAGGGGGCUCAUGACGGUACCGUAAGAAUAAGCACCGGCUAACUACGUGCCAGCCGCCGCCGUAA